GAUGAACGCUGGCGGCGUGCCUAAUACAUGCAAGUCGAGCGAACGGACGAGAAGCUUGCUUCUCUGAUGUUAGCGGCGGACGGGUGAGUAACACGUGGAUAACCUACCUAUAAGACUGGGAUAACUUCGGGAAACCGGAGCUAAUACCGGAUAAUAUUUUGAACCGCAUGGUUCAAAAGUGAAAGACGGUCUUGCUGUCACUUAUAGAUGGAUCCACGCUGCAUUAGCUAGUUGGUAAGGUAACGGCCUACCAAGGCAACGAUGCAUAGCCGACGUGAGAGGGUGAUCGCCCACACUGGAACUGGAACACGGUCCAGAGUCCUACGGGAGGCAGCAGUAGGGAAUCUUCCGCAAUGGGCGAAAGCCUGACGGAGCGACGCCGCGUGAGUGAUGAAGGUCUUCGGAUCGUAAAACUCUGUUAUUAGGGAAGAACAUAUGUGUAAGUAACUGUGCACAUCUUGACGGUACCUAAUCAGAAAGCCACGGCUAACUACGUG
rnacentral:rRNA from 1 species